GUCCUGCUGGUGCGCGGUGCACAUCUGCCCUCAUUUCGUAUAUCCCCCGCACCCAGUGAUGCAGAAGGACCCCGUUCGACUCGGGGGCAGGACA